GGGAGGCCGGGAGGGGUCCCUGGGCGGGGAGUUGCUGCGCAUCUGUUGUGUGUGUGCGUCUGUCUGUCUGUUCAGGUCUGUUUCAGACUACGUCUGCCUGUCUGUCCAGGUCUGUUUUAGGCUGUGUCUGCCUGUCUCUCUGUCUGGGUCUCUUUCAGGCUGCGUCGGUCUGUCUGUCUGGGUCUGUUUCAGGCUGUGUCUGUCUGUCUGUCUGGGUCUGUUUCAGGCUGUGUCUGUCUGUCUGUCCGGGUCUGUUUCAGGCUGUGUCUGGGUCUGUUUCAGGCUGUGUCUGUCUGUCUGUCCGGGUCUGUUUCAGGCUGUGUCUGUCUGUCUGUCCGGGUCUGUUUCAGGCUGUGUCUGUCUGUCUGUCCGGGUCUGUUUCAGGCUGUGUCUGUCUGUCUGUCUGGGUCUGUUUCAGGCUGUGUCUGUCUGUCUGUUUGUCUGGGUCUGUUUCAGGCUGUGUCUGUCUGUCCGGGUCUGUUUCAGGCUGUAUGUGUGUCUGCUCUUUGCUUCUGCUCCUGGCUCUGUGUGUAUUUCCCGGGUCCUGUGGCC
rnacentral:lncRNA from 1 species